rnacentral:lncRNA from 1 species
CUAAUUGUACCAUAUUUCAAACAGUAUAAUAAAUCUGGACUCGCAGAAUUUAUAACAUGGAUCAAGACUACUAGUAAGAUUCAAGCAGUAUGUCAUAAUCAAAACUGCCUUGAUCCAAGAAUAAAAUUAGAAAGCAAGAUAGCAAACGCGAGAUCUUUAAAAUUUCCUCGCAAAACAUAAAAUCUAAUUUAACAUACUCAGCCAACUAAGAUAAGUCAAAAUCGCCAACAAUGGAGAAACUAUACCAGCAUCCAUAUUUCCAUUUUCAUUCAAAACUAAUCCAGAAAAUCACUAUGCAACAAGCGUACUGGCAGUGGUAGACUCG